CACCAUGGUGAUUUUUAAGCCACUCACUAUACUUUAGUACUGGACCAUCUAAAUUUCUAAUUCAGUAACGAAAGGAUACUGGAUGCAAUCAAGUACUUAUCAAGUCGGUGUAUGAGUCAAGAUGGAAUUGAUCCUUCUAAAUUGGUAGGAGAUAUGCAUCAGUGUAUUUCAAUUUGUAAAACAUUGGCCAAGAUAUCCAUGAGAUAGAUUUGAAAGGUUGAAAUAUAAUGUGAUCGACUAAAUUAAGGUUGACAGUUAAACCCUAGGUCACCUUAAGCAUUUAGGUCAAAGGGAUGAAUUAUACAGUAACCAUACGCCAGUAGGUUCUAGAAUGUUGCUUUGCAAUACUUCGAUCUAUCCGAUCGUUGGGUCACCAUUGCUAGAUGGUUAUAUUGAUUGAUAUAGAAAGUUAUUUCUAUACUACCAACUUAAAUUCGAAUCUAUGAGGUCACACGCAUUAGAAGAUUUGAUCAGAUCUUAUGGCUGAAGAGUCCAAUUGGAUUGUGACUCUGGUGAGGAGUCCUACUGGGAUUGGGACUCUGGAGGAGAGUUUCACUAGAACUACAACUCUAUUAUUAAUAAAAAAUUAAUUAGUAAUUGACUCAAUUUAAUUGAGUAAAGAGCUUUAGAUCAACU
rnacentral:lncRNA from 1 species